UACGAAGGGGGCUAGCGUUGCUCGGAAUCACUGGGCGUAAAGGGUGCGUAGGCGGGUCUUUAAGUCAGGGGUGAAAUCCUGGAGCUCAACUCCAGAACUGCCUUUGAUACUGAAGAUCUUGAGUUCGGGAGAGGUGAGUGGAACUGCGAGUGUAGAGGUGAAAUUCGUAGAUAUUCGCAAGAACACCAGUGGCGAAGGCGGCUCACUGGCCCGAUACUGACGCUGAGGCGCGAAAGCCAGGGAAGCAAACGGGG
rnacentral:rRNA from 1 species